UACGGAGGGUGCAAGCGUUAGUCCGGAUUCACUGGGUUUAAAGGGUGCGUAGGCGGGUUGUUAAGUCAGUGGUGAAAUCUCAGAGCUUAACUCUGAAACUGCCAUUGAUACUAAUGAUCUUGAAUAUUGUGGAGGUAAGCGGAAGUAGUGAUCAUGUAGCGGUGAAAUGCUUAGAUAUGACAUAGAACACCCCAUUGCGAAGGCAGCUUACUACGCAUAUAUUGACGCUGGAUGCACGGAAAGCGUGGGGAUCAAACAGG
rnacentral:rRNA from 1 species